UCCCUCCUGUGUUCACUGCUUGCUAGCAUAUUUUAUGUAGUGUUUGCGUUUGUGGUUUUUGACUUUGCUAGUUUCCCUAGUUUAUGGAUUUUUGCCAGCUCCCUGCUUGCUUUGUUUGCCUUUUUUGGACUGCUUACCUGUAUAUGACCUUGUGGACCAUCUGCAAUGACUUUGUCUUUUUAAACUCAACUUUGCCUCCAAGGCUGCAGCUGUCAGCAGCUGGGAAAACCAGCGGCAUCUCCUAUACUUCACCAAUCCUGCUGUCUGACACGAUCAUGCUGUAUCACAUGAAUGUCUGCCUCAGCCAUGAACUUAAUGAGCAUUUGCAAAGCUCCCCCAAUGCAUCUCUUAACAGCAACCAUGCUGCAGUAUAACAGCACAGCUCCACCCCUGUCUGCCUUUUCUGCUGGAAACCCUGCCACCACUGCUUGCCCUGCUCCACCGCCCUGGUUCUACUCCACAAAACUUAACCACUAUAACUCUACAAUAAACCUGCUUUUGAAGCAUUGAACA